rnacentral:lncRNA from 1 species
UCCGGUACCGCUUGGUACACCUUUUGAGGAAGAAAUAGGUGUAGGUGCUCACGAUAUGGAUUAUGUAGAAGCUCAGGAAAAUUACGGUAUAGAAGAAGAAAAUGAAGUAGAUGCGGUUAAUUUAGACGAAGAUAAUGAAAAUAUUGCUGAGACACCCGCAGUAGGAGAUGCUAACGUUAGAUCUGAAUCAGUUAAUCUCCCUUCCCGUCCUCCCAGUGCCCCAAAACCUCGUAAAAGAACUAGUAUUGCAUGACAAUUUUUUGAACGUAUAUCAGAUAUUGAGGUGCAAUGCAAUAUUUGUCAACAAAUAUAUAAGCAUAGAAGUGGAGGCAAGCAAGGGGGUACGGGUACGUUAAUGAGACAUAUAGCUGAAGAUCACAAAAGAGAGU